GUCAAUGGUGAGCUGAAUGAGGAGACCGAAAGGUCUGCCGUUUUCUCGUAUAGCGGUACUGCGAACCUUGUUCAGUUCACCACCAGU
rnacentral:antisense_RNA from 1 species